UACGGGAGGCAGCAGUGGGGAAUAUUGCACAAUGGGCGCAAGCCUGAUGCAGCCACGCCGCGUGUAUGAAGAAGGCCUUCGGGUUGUAAAGUACUUUCAGUCGUGAGGAAGGUGUUAAGGUUAAUAACCUUAGCAAUUGACGUUAGCGACAGAAGAAGCACCGGCUAACUCCGUGCCAGCAGCCGCGGUAAUACGGAGGGUGCGAGCGUUAAUCGGAAUUACUGGGCGUAAAGGGCACGCAGGCGGUUAAUUAAGUUGGAUGUGAAAUCCCCGGGCUUAACCUGGGAAUGGCAUUCAAGACUGGUUAGCUAGAGUCUUGUAGAGGGGGUAGAAUUCCAUGUGUAGCGGUGAAAUGCGUAGAGAUGUGGAGGAAUACCGGUGGCGAAGGCGGCCCCUGGACAAGACUGACGCUCAUGUGCGAAAGCUGGGGAGCAAACAGGGAUUAGAUACCCGU
rnacentral:rRNA from 1 species